rnacentral:lncRNA from 1 species
GUGGCAGUGGAGGCUUCCUGGGUGGGUGGGGACUGGGGCAUAUGCCAGGCCUCCAAGGCAGGCAAACAAAGGCUCUGGCCGAGGGAGCAGCAUGUGACUCACGCAGGGGGUUGGAUGGGGAGCACACAUGAGCUGGAGGGAGGAGGAGGGGGCUGGGCGAGGUAGGCAGGAGUCAGAUAACGAAGAGCCAAUGGGCUGUCAGGGGAGCGUCUGCCUGCACUGUGAUGUGACUGUGAGUCACCGCAGGACCGGAACACGGACAGGACAUGUGCGGCUCUGGGCUGUAAAAAAGACACCACUGAGAGUACAGAAAACACCUGUGAGAGAGGCUGGCAUCCAGGGCGGGAAACCUCUUUUGAGGGCGUGAACCAGGAUGUGAAGCAGCAUUUGAAUUCUUGCUGCUCUCUUCUGGAGCAGUGGGAUAUUGGGCAGUUCACUUAACCUCUCUGAGCUCCUUCCUCAAGCCUUUUUUUCCUGACUACAGCGAGCAACAGCUGUUUGAGAUGGUGGAGCACAUUCUUGCUGGUGAAAGGAAGCAAGGUCAACAGAGACUCAUAGAGGAAACAUUCAACAACUUGAACAGUAAGCAAGUUGCAGUUUCCGUCUCAGUGGACUGAGGUGAUACAGCAGAUUUUGCUGUGGACCAAGAUCCAGUUUUCCUCAUAACACUCACAGGCAAGUUGAACAAUCAUAACGGAACUCCUUGCCUGCAGAGAGGGGCUGGAGUCUCUAGAGUUCACGUGAUUCUAUUGCCUAAGUCUCCCACCCGGUUUGAGUUUCUAACUCCUUAUAUCUAGGUUGCUUUGCAUUAUUUAUUGCCUGAUUCUGUUCAGAAUUCCCUGCAAGUGUAUCCCAUCCCCAUAUAUCCUUCCUGUCUAAUGGGACGACAACUCUCAGCUAUUUAAUGACACCCAGUUGGAUUCUGCACUUCUCUAGUG